rnacentral:rRNA from 1 species
UACGUAGGGACCAAGCGUUGUUCGGAUUCAUUGGGCGUAAAGGGUGCGUAGGUGGCGCGCUAAGUCGGGUGUGAAAUUUCGGAGCUUAACUCCGAAACUGCAUUCGAUACUGGUGUGCUUGAGGACUGGAGAGGAGACUGGAAUUCAUGGUGUAGCAGUGAAAUGCGUAGAGAUGCGGAGGAACACCAGUGGCGAAAGCGACUUUCUGGUCCUUAACUGACGCUGAGGCGCGAAAGCAUGGGGAGCGAACGGG